rnacentral:lncRNA from 1 species
AAUUUAGUCAUUCUUUAUGUUUUUUUUCAGUCAUUGCCUUUCCCUGACUCUGAAGUGAGCAGCAAUAAACAACCUUUACUUCUGGUAUUGACACUAGUUCUGACUAAGGUGGUCUUUUUGCUGUGCUUGACUUUCACUUCAGAAGCAAUUCUGGCUGAUUUUUAAUGGUUCGUUAACACCCCAAAGUAACAUUCUGUGUUUGGCUCUUACAGAAAGCACGAAUAGGACUUAGCAGAGAAAUGUUUAAGUUGUUUCCAUAUCUUGGCUAUGGUGAAUAAUGCCACAAUAAACAUGGGAGUGAAGAUAUCUCUUCAAGAUUCUGCAAGAUUCUCUUCCAGCUCAAGUGAGAUCGUUUGGAUGAAGUCCCUCCCCAAAAACCACUGGUUUGUCCAGUUCAUUGCAAAAGCUCAAGUUUACUUUUUUACUUGAUACAUUAUGAAGUUACUUUAAAGAAGAUUAAAAAAUAAAGCGAAGAUUGAUGCAAGUAAUGAUGAUUUUGUGACCAAGUAUUUUCUACAAAUGUUUCAUCAAGGAAUAAAACAAGCAAACAAUAUAUUUCUCUCUAGACUUCAAAUGCUAAAACUAAUGGCUUUUGUAAGAAUAUAUUUCAGAUUUAAUUCUAGUGAUCAUAUCAAAAGCAUGCUAUCAAGCUUUUACCUUUACCAGAGAGGGCUGAACUCAAAGGAUUCACUUCCAAACGUGAACAAAAUAACAAAAGCCUUAAACAAGCAUUUGACAUUUGUAAAAGAAGAAGCAAGACUACAAUUCAUCUAUUCAAUUGCUCAAUAAGCAUUUAUCAAGGACGUAAUAUGCACUUGGAUGGGUUUGUUAGAGAGUUCCUGACUUUGAAUGUUACCUGGGUCCGUUUUAACUUGUAACAUUUUACAAUGGCAAAGAGAAAAACAACUCUCACCCUGUAGAAUUUUCAUUGUGUGCUUCUUUCUUUCUUGAUUUCCCUGCUCUCACUAAAUUCUAGACAUUUUUCAGGAUGCGUUUCUGAGUGCUCCUCUUCUGGAAGGACUAUGUAGUCUAACAUUCUGUGGCAGAUGCUGUGGGUUGACUCAUCCAACAGCACCCUCCUCAUUGCCUUUCUAUUCUAUAGAGGCCUCAAAGAGGAAUACUGGAAUAGUCAGUUUCCCUUACAGCUAGAAGUGGUGAUGUGGCAAAGUGAGGACUAAUGAGAUAUAGAGGAAAGUCAC